rnacentral:rRNA from 1 species
GACGAACGCUGGCGGCGUGCCUAAUACAUGCAAGUCGAACGCAGUUGCGAACGGGUGAGUAACGCGUAGUUAACUGCCUCAUAUCGUGGGAUAACUAUUGGAAACGAUAGCUAAUACCGCAUACUGGAAGAUUGACCUGCGUUGUAUUAGCUAGUUGGUGUGGUAAAGGCUCACCAAGGCGACGAUACAUAGCCGACCUUGGAGGGGUAUCGGGCACACCGGGACCUUGACAGGGGCCAGACGCCUCCGGGAGGCAGCUGUAGGGAUUCUUCGGGAAUGGACGGAAGUCUGACCAAGCAACGGCGCCUGAGUUAAGAGGGUUUUCGGGUCGUAAAGCUCUGUUGUUAGAGAAGCGGUAACUAAACAGAAAGGGCCGGCUAACUACGUGCCAGCAGCCGCGGUAAUAC